AUUGAACGCUGGCGGCAUGCCUUACACAUGCAAGUCGAACGGUAACGCGGGGCAACCUGGCGACGAGUGGCGAACGGGUGAGUAAUAUAUCGGAACGUGCCCAAUAGUGGGGGAUAGCCCGGCGAAAGCCGGAUUAAUACCGCAUACGACCUGAGGGUGAAAGCGGGGGAUCGCAAGACCUCGCGCUAUUGGAGCGGCCGAUAUCAGAUUAGGUAGUUGGUGGGGUAAAGGCCUACCAAGCCUACGAUCUGUAGCUGGUCUGAGAGGACGACCAGCCACACUGGGACUGAGACACGGCCCAGACUCCUACGGGAGGCAGCAGUGGGGAAUUUUGGACAAUGGGCGCAAGCCUGAUCCAGCCAUGCCGCGUGCGGGAAGAAGGCC
rnacentral:rRNA from 1 species